rnacentral:rRNA from 1 species
CCUACGGGAGGCAGCAGUGAGGAAUAUUGGUCAAUGGGCGCGAGCCUGAACCAGCCAAGUCGCGUGAGGGAAGACGGCCCUACGGGUUGUAAACCUCUUUUGCCGGGGAGCAACGGGCGCCACGCGUGGCGCCACUGAGAGUACCCGGAGAAAAAGCAUCGGCUAACUCCGUGCCAGAAGCCGCGGUGAUACGGAGGAUGCGAGCGGUAUCCGGAUUUAUUGGGUUUAAAGGGGACGUAGGCGGAGCGUUAAGUCAGGGGUAAAAUUGAGGGGCUCAACCCCUUCCCGCCAGUGAAUCUGGCGCUCUUGAGGGGAAGAGAAGUAUGCGGAAUGCGUGGUGUAGCGGUGAAAUGCAUAGAUAUCACGCAGAACCCCGAUUGCGAAGGCAGCAUGCCGGCUUCCUACUGACGCUGAAGCACGAAAGCGUGGGGAUCGAACAGGAUUAGAUACCCUAGUAGUC